rnacentral:rRNA from 1 species
UACAGAGGCCCCAAGCAUUAUCCGGAAUCACUGGGCGUAGAGGGUGUCGAGGCGGUCAUGUUAGUCUUCCGUAAAAUCCGUGGGCUCAACCUACGGCGCGCGGAGGAAACGGCAUGGCUCGAGGUCGGAAGAGGUGCGUGGAACUCACGGUGUAGGGGUGAAAUCCGUUGAUAUCGAGGGGAACACCAGUGGCGAAGGCGAGUCCCUGGACAGAUCCUGACGCUGAGGCACGAAAGCUAGGGGAGCAAACAGG